CCUAUUUUUUAUAUGGUCGGCUUCUAUCUCUAUUACUCCAUGGUCCUCACUAACUUUAUCUAUGUUUGAAGAGAAGCAAAUCAUCAACAAACUUGCAAACCAAACUUGUACUUCAAAAUAGGUUAGAUAACUAAUGGGUUGGACUUUGGAGGUUCUCCUCAGCCUCCCACUAGUAUAUGGAGACUACAAAAAAGGAUAGUACAUCUAAUAUUCCUAUUGGGUUUUUUUUUGUGUUGCAAUGUUCCAGUACUGCCCCUGACUUUUUAGGGGUUCUAGGCGAACAUAUCGACGGGACUCCUACAAUGGACGCUUUUCAUUCCGUGUUUUUUCUUUUGGAUUUUGCCUUUACCAGUUCCUGUUUGGAAAAAAAAUCGGAUUGUAUUUGUAUGUGAGAGAAUUUAGUAAAUCAAGAUGCGUAUUCACAUCAAUGAUGUGUGUUUCAGACUUAAUAUGGAGCGGGUAGCGGGAAUCGAACCCACAUCGUUAGCAGUGAAAUGCGUAGAGAUCGGAAAGAGAACACCAACGGCGAAAGCACUUUGCUGGGCCGACACUAACACUGAGAGACGAAAGCUAGGGGAGCGAAUGGGAUUAGAUACCCCAGUAAUCCUAGUCGUAAACGAUGGAUACUACGCGUUGUGCGUAUCGACCCGUGCAGUGUUGUAGCUAACGCGUUAAGUAUCCCACCUGGGAGUACGUUCGCAAGAAUGAAACUCAAAGGAAUUGAUGGGGGCCCGCACAAGCGGUGGAGCAUGUGGUUUAGUUCGAUGCAGAGCGAAGAACCUUACCAGGGAUUGACAUGUCGUGAAUCCUCUUAAAAGAGAGGGGUGCCUUAGGGAACACGGAUACAGGUGGUGCAUGGUUGGCGUCAGCUCGUGCUGUAAGGUGUUGGGUUAAGUCCUGCAACGAGUGCAACCCUCGUGUUUAGUUGCCGCCAUUGAGUUUGGAACCCUGAACAGAUUGUCGGUGACAAGCCAGAGGAAGGUGAGGAUGACGUCAAGUCAUCACGCCCUUUAUGCCCUGGGCGACACACGUGCUACAAUGGUCGGGACAAAGGGUCGCGACCCCGCGAGGGUGAGCUAACCCCAAAAACCCGUCCUCAGUUCGGAUUGCAGGCUGCAACUCGCCUGCAUGAAGCCGGAAUCGCUAGUAAUCGUCGGUCAUCCAUAUGGCGGUGAAUUCAUUCCCGGGCCUUGUAUACACCGCCCGUCACACUAUAGGAGCUGGUCAUGCCCGAAGUCGUUACCUUAACCGUAAGGAGGGGGAUGUCGAAGGCAGGGCUAGUGACUGGAGUGAAGUCAUAACAAGGUAGUCGUACUGGAAGGUGCGGUUG
rnacentral:rRNA from 1 species